CUGCUGCCUUCCGUAGGAGUCUGGUCCGUGUCUCAGUACCAGUGUGGGGGACCUUCCUCUCAGAACCCCUACGCAUCGUCGCCACGGUGGGCCGUUACCCCGCCGUCAAGCUAAUGCGCCGCAUGCCCAGCCGCCACCGGAUUCCUCCUUUCGCCCGGACCGGAUGCCCGGUCCGGGCGGCAUGGGGUAUUAGGCCGGGUUUCCCCGGGUUAUCCCCCUGUGGCGGGCAGGUUCCAUACGUGUUACUCACCCGUGCGCCGGUCGCCGGCAGGUGCAGG
rnacentral:rRNA from 1 species